ACCCUACCCCCACUAUCUGCUUCUGUGAUAUGAUUUGUCGAGGGCAGGCAUUCCUUCCUUUCUUUUGUCACCGUGAGAGAUAGCCGGCAAGAUGAAUGACACAGUGACUAUCAGAACAAGAAAGUUUAUGACAAACAGACUUCUGCAGCGCAAGCAGAUGGUCAUUGAUGUACUUCAUCCAGGCAAAGCUACUGUCCCCAAGACUGAAAUCAGAGAAAAGCUGGCAAAGAUGUACAAGACAACCCCAGAUGUUAUUUUUGUGUUUGGUUUUAGGACUCACUUUGGAGGUGGCAAAACUACAGGCUUUGGCAUGAUCUACGACUCUCUUGACUAUGCAAAAAAGAAUGAGCCUAAACACAGACUUGCCAGGCAUGGGCUUUAUGAGAAGAAAAAGACUUCCAGAAAGCAGCGUAAAGAACGCAAGAACAGAAUGAAGAAAGUAAGGGGUACAGCCAAAGCAAAUGUGGGUGCUGGUAAAAAGAAGAAAUGAAGUUCCCUGCAGGUACAUCAAAAAAGCAUUGAGCUGAGAGUAGCUGGCACAGAAGGAUUAAAGAAUUCCAGGAUGAGCCAACUGAAGAUUUUGCUUUAAUUCAAGUGGUUGUAAUAAAACUUGUAAAAACAA